CUGCUUUCAUCCCCCUUCACAGUCUACUCUCUGUCUCCAUGGGAUCUGGGUUUGAAGCUCCCACAUGUGCGUGAGAACAUGUAGUAUUUUUCUUCUGUGCCUGGCUUAUUUCACUUAAUAUAAUGACCUCCAGUUCCACCCAUCAACGGAAGAUUUAUUUUAGCAAACUUGCAAUGGCAAGUUCUUUCUCUACCUCUUUGAGAUGCAAAUCUCCUCUCAAGUCUUCUUCUAGCCUCUUGCCAGUUUUACAACCCAGGAAUGUCUCUCUUAAGACCUCAGAGCCAUCCCUUUAAAAUGUAGUAAUUGAAGAUGAUACAUCUCUCAGUCUUUGUAGAAGGGCCGUUUCCAGUUUUGAAAAAUUCCAAUGAGCGAACAGAGAUGGCUUUGCCGCAUUUCCUAACCUUUUGCUAAUGUCUCCAGUUCCUUCUCAGCGUCUCACCCCAGCACUGAAACUCUCCAGCCUUUUGUUUAACAAAGCUAAGCUCCUUCUCUCUUCGGUCUGGCAAUAGUCCCGACUCAAGCCUGCCUUGCACGUUUAACUUGUGUGGUGCAUUUUUUCUUCGACAAUGUCCAGAUCAAACAGCCCCACAAGAACAUCGAGUGUGAUUUUAGCCUGAGAAGCGGGAGGGUGAGAAGACAGACUGGAGCCAGCUGUGUAGGCAGGGGACUCAGCCCCUCCCUAAACCUCUCCCAGUCUCAUCUGUAAAUGCAGUGCACAGGCAGCAGCGCUUCUCCCCCGAGGCUGGGGCCAGGGAAUAAGUUUGACUAUUGAGGGCACCUGCCGCAGGGUUAGUCCUCAGGGUACGGGCGCCAGUGGGUUUCCUUUGGUUGACUGCUGACAAUGCGUUUGUAAAAUGGCAGCCCGCACUAGGUGAUGUUGAAGCCACAGAAGACACGGCAGUGGGAAAAGCAGCAGGAGCCGCUGCCCUGAGGAGCCUCCAAGCCCAGGCAGAGGGCCAGCCGCACAGAUGGUGUUGGAACCGAACUAGAGGACACCUGGCUGAUGUCCACUGCUUGGUGUGUGUGGCAAAACCCUCCACACAUUUGGUCACAGAAGUCUUCUGGGUUGAUAAUUUUCUGUGGCGUGAGAGCAGAGGGAAGACACAGUUUGAGUCUUGCUCUGUCACCCAAGCUGGAGUGCAGUGGUGUGUCAGCCUUGAACUCCUGGGCUCAAGUGAUCUUCCCAUCUCAGUCUCCCAAAUAGCUGGGACUACAGGAGUGCUCCACCAAGCCUGGCUAAUUUUUUAAUAUUUUUGGAGAGAUGGGGUCUCUGUAUGUUGCCCAGGCUGGUCUUCAACUCUUGGCUUCAAGGAAUCCUCCCACCUGGGUCUCCGAAAGUGCUGGAGUUGCAGGCAUGAGCCCACCAUGGCAAGCAGGAGAAACUUUUUAUGCGUCAGCAUACCGUGGAUUAGGUGUUGCAAUAUCAUAUACUGACGAUUUCCAAGUCUAUAUAUGUCCUGGUUUACGGAAUAAAAUAUAGUUGAUGCACA
rnacentral:lncRNA from 13 species